rnacentral:rRNA from 1 species
GUCUAUCAUGCAGUCGAGCGCGGGAAGCGAGUGGAUCCCUUCGGGGUGAAGCUCGUGGAACGAGCGGCGGACGGGUGAGUAACACGUGGGCAACCUGCCUGUAAGACCGGAAUAACCCCGGGAAACCGGGGCUAAUGCCGGGUAAUACUUUUCUUCGCAUGAAGGAAAGUUGAAAGAUGGCUUCUCGCUAUCACUUACAGAUGGGCCCGCGGCGCAUUAGCUAGUUGGUGAGGUAACGGCUCACCAAGGCGACGAUGCGUAGCCGACCUGAGAGGGUGAUCGGCCACACUGGGACUGAGACACGGCCCAGACUCCUACGGGAGGCAGCAGUAGGGAAUCUUCCGCAAUGGACGAAAGUCUGACGGAGCAACGCCGCGUGAACGAUGAAGGUCUUCGGAUCGUAAAGUUCUGUUGUUAGGGAAGAACAAGUACCGUGCGAAUAGAGCGGUACCUUGACGGUACCUAACGAGGAAGCCCCGGCUAACUACGUGCCAGCAGCCGCGGUAAUACGUAGGGGGCAAGCGUAGUCUCGGAAUUGAUAUAGGAGUAAAGAAAGCGCAGGCAGGUUCCUUUAAGAAGUGAUGAUGAAAAAAGCCCACGGGCUCUAACCGCGGAGGAGUCAUAUGGAAAACUUGGGGAACUUGAAGACACAAAGAGAGACAGAUGGGAAUUCCACGUGUAGCGGUGAAAUGCCUAGAUAUGUGGAGGAACACGCAGUGGCCAAGGCGACUCUCUGGUCUGUUUUCAGAAAAUGAAGUGCGAUAAGCGGGGGUAGCCCCAAACAGGACUUCAGACUAUCCCUGGGAGGUCCACGCCCUAAGAAAAAAAGUGCCCCAGACUGUUAGCGGGGCUGCCACCCCUUAGUGCUUGAAGCUAACGCACUUUAAGCAGCUUUCCGCUCUAUUGUGGGAGUACGGCUCGCUUAACCCUGAAACUCACCCCAAAGAACUUUUGACGACGGCCAGCACAAGACUGGUGGAGCAUGUGGUUUAAUUCGAAGCAACGCGAAGAACCUUACCAGGUCUUGACAUCCUUGGACCUCCCUAGAGAUAGGGAUUUCCCUUCGGGGACCAAGUGACAGGUGGUGCAUGGUUGUCGUCAGCUCGUGUCGUGAGAUGUUGGGUUAAGUCCCGCAACGAGCGCAACCCCUAAUCUUAGUUGCCAGCAUUCAGUUGGGCACUCUAAGGUGACUGCCGGUGACAAACCGGAGGAAGGCGGGGAUGACGUCAAAUCAUCAUGCCCCUUAUGACCUGGGCUACACACGUGCUACAAUGGAUGGUACAAAGGGCAGCGAAGCCGCGAGGUGUAGCAAAUCCCAUAAAACCAUUCUCAGUUCGGAUUGCAGGCUGCAACUCGCCUGCAUGAAGCCGGAAUCGCUAGUAAUCGCGGAUCAGCGUGCCGCGGUGAAUACGUUCCCGGGCCUUGUACACACCGCCCGUCACACCACGAGAGUUGGCAACCCCGNAGUCGGUGAGGUACC